AUUGAACGCUGGCGGCAGGCCUAACACAUGCAAGUCGAGCGGAUGAGUGGAGCUUGCUCCAUGAUUCAGCGGCGGACGGGUGAGUAAUGCCUAGGAAUCUGCCUGGUAGUGGGGGACAACGUUUCGAAAGGAACGCUAAUACCGCAUACGUCCUACGGGAGAAAGUGGGGGAUCUUCGGACCUCACGCUAUCAGAUGAGCCUAGGUCGGAUUAGCUAGUUGGUGAGGUAAAGGCUCACAAAGGCGACGAUCCGUAACUGGUCUGAGAGGAUGAUCAGGCACACUGGAACUGAGACACGGGCCAGACUCCUACGGGAGGCAGCAGUGGGGAAUAUUGGACAAUGGGCGAAAGCCUGAUCCAGCCAUGCCGCGUGUGUGAAGAAGGUCUUCGGAUUGUAAAGCACUUUAAGUUGGGAGGAAGGGCAGUAAGUUAAUACCUUGCUGUUUUGACGUUACCAACAGAAUAAGCACCGGCUAACUUCGUGCCAGCAGCCGCCGUAAUAC
rnacentral:rRNA from 1 species